GCCCUUGAGAUUCCUUACCCUUCAGAUUUAAACACUAGUCUCAGGGGCUAUCAAAGGAGGAACCCCAACACAGACUCAGAGUCUUUUGUGACAUACAAUUUGGUUUCAAACCAGA
rnacentral:snoRNA from 1 species